rnacentral:ncRNA from 1 species
GUGUCCUUAAAAUGGAGAGAUGGUUGGCAUCUCCUCUGAUAAGGUUAUCUACAUUUGUGGAUCUUAUAACCCUUUUUUU